rnacentral:lncRNA from 1 species
AUCACAGGCAGGGGGAAUGGGGAGGGGACGGUAGCGUCAGCCUACACCCACACGCAGAAGCUGACAAUGACUGUUGGGCUUUUCCAAUGAAUACCAGAACACCAUUUCCUGCAGCCUGAAAAGAAGACAGUAUAAUUGUUUGGCAGCAAGAGGCCAAGCAGGAAACUAGAGAUAUGGUGACGGUAGUGGUCCCAGGGAGGAGCUUUAACCUGAGCACCACCCACAGAAGGCAGACCACCCUCCCAGCCGCAGUGCAAAUGAAUGUUGGCCCCCACCCAGGUCCCCAAGUGCUUUCCCAGUCACGCCCCAGCUGCCAGGUUUUUUUCUCCAGGCCUACUACAGAUGGGUUACCCUGACUCCACCCCCAACACCCUCCAAUGAUUAGAACCACUGACUCCUCCCUCCCAUGCCUGCCUCCAUGGCAGGCCCCUGCAGAAACCAAACAUAGUCACCUUAGACUCUGGCAUACUGAGACCAGGGCUUGAUCCUGGCCCCCUUGCCUCCCUGGCAAUUUAUCAUUUAAUAAAAAUAUUGUUAAAAAA